GGAAUUAUUGGGCGUAAAGAGCUCGUAGGCGGUUUGUCGCGUCUGCUGUGAAAGCCCGGGGCUCAACCCCGGGUCUGCAGUGGGUACGGGCAGACUAGAGUGCAGUAGGGGAGACUGGAAUUCCUGGUGUAGCGGUGAAAUGCGCAGAUAUCAGGAGGAACACCGAUGGCGAAGGCAGGUCUCUGGGCUGUAACUGACGCUGAGGAGCGAAAGCAUGGGGAGCGAACAGGAUUAGAUACCCUGGUAGUCCAUGCCGUAAACGUUGGGCACUAGGUGUGGGGGACAUUCCACGUUUUCCGCGCCGUAGCUAACGCAUUAAGUGCCCCGCCUGGGGAGUACGGCCGCAAGGCUAAAACUCAAAGGAAUUGACGGGGGCCCGCACAAGCGGCGGAGCAUGCGGAUUAAUUCGAUGCAACGCGAAGAACCUUACCAAGGCUUGACAUGGACCGGACCGCCGCAGAAAUGCGGUUUCCCUUCGGGGCCGGUUUACAGGUGGUGCAUGGUUGUCGUCAGCUCGUGUCGUGAGAUGUUGGGUUAAGUCCCGCAACGAGCGCAACCCUCGUUCUAUGUUGCCAGCGCGUUAUGGCGGGGACUCAUAGGAGACUGCCGGGGUCAACUCGGAGGAAGGUGGGGACGACGUCAAAUCAUCAUGCCCCUUAUGUCUUGGGCUUCACGCAUGCUACAAUGGCCGGUACAAAGGGUUGCGAUACUGUGAGGUGGAGCUAAUCCCAAAAAGCCGGUCUCAGUUCGGAUUGAGGUCUGCAACUCGACCUCAUGAAGUCGGAGUCGCUAGUAAUCGCAGAUCAGCAACGCUGCGGUGAAUACGUUCCCGGGCCUUGUACACACCGCCCGUCAAGUCACGAAAGUUGGUAACACCCGAAGCCGGUGGCCUAAC
rnacentral:rRNA from 1 species